AUGAUUCUCCGCCGUGGCAGUUCCCCGGCGGCGCUGGAAGAUGACGACCUGCUGGGGGAGAUCCUCCUCCGUCUCCCUCCUAUGCCGUCCUCCCUCCCGCGCGCCUCCGCCGUCUCCAAGCGCUGGCAGGGCCUCGUCACCGACCACGGAUUCCUCCGCCGCUUCCGCGCGCACGAUCGGGAGCCGCCCCUCCUCGGCGCCUUCUUACAUCAUCCCGCUGAUAAGCUCAAGUUUACUCCUAUCCUGCCCGCUCCGGACCGCAUCCCUCCUCCGUACCUCGACAAAGGGGCCCGCUUGCUCAGUUGCCGCCAUGGCCACUUCCUCAUCAUACACAGGGAGCCGUGGAUGUCCUCGUGUGCGACCACACCACCAGCAGCCAGCAUCGUUUGCUAA
rnacentral:rRNA from 1 species